UACGUAGGGCGCAAGCGUUGUCCGGAAUUAUUGGGCGUAAAGAGCUCGUAGGCGGCUUGUUGCGUCGGUUGUGAAAGCCCGGGGCUUAACCCCGGGUCUGCAGUCGAUACGGGCAGGCUAGAGUGUGGUAGGGGAGAUCGGAAUUCCUGGUGUAGCGGUGAAAUGCGCAGAUAUCAGGAGGAACACCGGUGGCGAAGGCGGAUCUCUGGGCCGAUACUGACGCUGAGGAGCGAAAGCGUGGGGAGCGAACAGG
rnacentral:rRNA from 1 species